UGUGUCGACGGACAGACACACCCUUCAAGGAUGAGGGGAAGGACAUUGCAGGACGCAAUUCAUCAGGACGAUGAAAAGGAUUAAAGGGAAUAAGGACGAAAUGUGGGCGGGUCAAACCGCCCCUUUUUUU
rnacentral:sRNA from 1 species